rnacentral:rRNA from 1 species
AAAUGAAUAGACGGGUCCCCGCACAAGCAGCGGAGCAUGUUGAUUAAUUCGACGCGACGCGAAGAACCUUACCAGGGCUUGACAUCCUAUGAAUGCUUAGGAAACUAGGCAGUGCCCUUCGGGGAGCAUAGAGACAGGUGGUGCAUGGUUGUCGUCAGCUCGUGUCGUGAGAUGUUGGGUUAAGUCCCGCAACGAGCGCAACCCUUACGGUCUGUUACCAGCGGGAAAGCCGGGGACUCAGACAGGACAGCCGGGGUAACCCGGAGGAAGGUGGGGACGACGUCAAAUCAUCAUGCUCCUUACGUCCUGGGCUUCAAACGUGCUACAAUGGUCGUAAACAACGAGGAACGAAGCGGUAACGCGGAGUGAAACUAAAAAAACGAUCUCAGUUCGGAUUGAGGGCUGCAACCCGCCCUCAUGAAGUUGGAGUUGCUAGUAAUCGCAAAUCAGAAUGUUGCGGUGAAUACGUUCCCGGGGAUUGUACACACCGCCCGU